rnacentral:rRNA from 1 species
AACGGGUGAGUAACGCGUAGGUAACCUGCCUGGUAGCGGGGGAUAACUAUUGGAAACGAUAGCUAAUACCGCAUAAAAUUGAUUAUUGCAUGAUAAUUAAUUGAAAGAUGCAAUUGCAUCACUACCAGAUGGACCUGCGUUGUAUUAGCUAGUUGGUGAGGUAACGGCUCACCAAGGCGACGAUACAUAGCCGACCUGAGAGGGUGAUCGGCCACACUGGGACUGAGACACGGCCCAGACUCCUACGGGAGGCAGCAGUAGGGAAUCUUCGGCAAUGGGGGGAACCCUGACCGAGCAACGCCGCGUGAGUGAAGAAGGUUUUCGGAUCGUAAAGCUCUGUUGUAAGAGAAGAACGGGUGUGAGAGGGAAAGUUCACACUGUGACGG